rnacentral:rRNA from 1 species
UACAGAGGUCUCAAGCGUUGUUCGGAUUCAUUGGGCGUAAAGGGUGCGUAGGUGGCGAUGUAAGUCUGGUGUGAAAUCUCGGGGCUCAACCUCGAAAUUGCAUUGGAUACUGCGUUGCUUGAGGAUUGUAGAGGAGGGUGGAAUUCAUGGUGUAGCGGUGAAAUGCGUAGAUAUCAUGAGGAAGACCAGUUGCGAAGGCGGCUUACUGGGCAAUUCCUGACACUGAGGCACGAAGGCCAGGGGAGCGAACGGG